rnacentral:pre_miRNA from 1 species
UCUUACGGAGGAGCAAGGAAAGAGGUUUCCUGAGAUGGAAUCUACUCCUGGUGAAGAUGCUGUGAA